UGCAAGUAAUUUAACAGUAGAGAUCUUUGUCUCCUGUUAGGGAUAUAAAAUGUGGUGUUAUAUACUGCUCUGGUGGAAACGACUAUCCUAAUGUCUAUGCCAAAAAAGUUACAAUUGGUUCUUGCAAGGCUGCCCUGCACCCAUCUGGAAUGGUACGGAAUGGAACAAGGUGUGGAGAGGAGAAGGUCUGCUACAAGGGAGCGUGCACAAGCAAAGAAGCUGUAUAUGAGUCCCUGGCCUGUAAUCCUGUGUGCCCUGGUCAAGUGACGUGUAACAAGACGGGAGAGUGUUAUUGUAAAGAAGAGCAACCCAAUCCCAAAUGUGCCAUCUCUGGUGUCUAGAAAAAAAAAAAAAAAAGUAAUGCCUAAUGAACUGGCGACAACUCCAUGGAGCUUUACAGAUGUGCUGGAAACUAGAAGAAAAUAAUGAAAAUCUCAUGAAACAAACACAGAAUAUUUCCUUUUCCCUUGCAUCCCCCCACUUCUCUCUAUACUAGCUUAUUUGAUGUCUUUUCUAUCUCCUGAUGACUAUUAUACUAUAAGCAGUCUUUUCUUUAUACAUCGGCGGUAAACACUGAAUACUGUUAAAUUGUACUGCAUAGAA